UACGGGGGAGCAAGCGUUGUUCGGAUUUACUGGGCGUAAAGGGCGCGUAGGCGGUCAGCACAAGUCAGUUGUGAAAUCUCCGGGCUUAACUCGGAAAGGUCAACUGAUACUGUGCGACUAGAGUGCGGAAGGGGCAACUGGAAUUCUUGGUGUAGCGGUGAAAUGCGUAGAUAUGCGGAGGAACACCGAUGGCGAAGGCAAUCCCCUGGGCCUGCACUGACGCUCAUGCACGAAAGCGUGGGGAGCAAACAGG
rnacentral:rRNA from 1 species